rnacentral:rRNA from 1 species
AUUGAACGCUGGCGGCAGGCCUAACACAUGCAAGUCGAACGGUAACAGGAAGAAGCUUGCUUCUUUGCUGACGAGUGGCGGACGGGUGAGUAAUGUCUGGGAAACUGCCUGAUGGAGGGGGAUAACUACUGGAAACGGUAGCUAAUACCGCAUAAUGUCGCAAGACCAAAGAGGGGGACCUUCGGGCCUCUUGCCAUCGGAUGUGCCCAGAUGGGAUUAGCUAGUAGGUGGGGUAAUGGCUCACCUAGGCGACGAUCCCUAGCUGGUCUGAGAGGAUGACCAGCCACACUGGAACUGAGACACGGUCCAGACUCCUACGGGAGGCAGCAGUGGGGAAUAUUGCACAAUGGGCGCAAGCCUGAUGCAGCUAUGCCGCGUGUAUGAAGAAGGCCUUCGGGUUGUAAAGUACUUUCAGCGGGGAGGAAGGGAGUAAAGUUAAUACCUUUGCUCAUUGACGUUACCCGCAGAAGAAGCACCGGCUAACUCCGUG